rnacentral:rRNA from 1 species
GACGUAGGGGACGAGCGUUGUCCGGAUUCAUUGGGCGUAAAGCGCGCGUAGGCGGUUACGCAAGUCGGUUGUGAAAAUCCGGGGCUCAACCCCGGACCUGCAUCCGAUACUGCGUGACUAGAGGUAGGUAGGGGAGAUCGGAAUUCCUGGUGUAGCGGUGAAAUGACGCAGAGUAUCAGGAGGAACACCGGUGGCGAAGGCGGAUCUCUGGGCCGAUACUGACGCUGAGGAGCGAAAGCGUGGGGAGCGAACAGG